rnacentral:rRNA from 1 species
AGAGUUUGAUCCUGGCUCAGAAUCAACGCUGGCGGCGUGCCUAACACAUGCAAGUCGAACGAGAAAGGGGAGCAAUCCCUGAGUACAGUGGCGCACGGGUGAGUAACACGUGACUAACCUACCCUGGAGCGGGGAAUAACUGAGGGAAACCUUAGCUAAUACCGCAUAAUACCUACGGGUCAAAGGAGCAAUUCGCUUCAGGAGGGGGUCGCGGCCGAUUAGCUAGUUGGCGGGGUAAUGGCCCACCAAGGCAAUGAUCGGUAUCCGGCCUGAGAGGGCGCACGGACACACUGGAACUGAAACACGGUCCAGACUCCUACGGGAGGCAGCAGUGGGGAAUUUUGCGCAAUGGGGGAAACCCUGACGCAGCAACGCCGCGUGGAGGAUGAUAUCCCUUGGGAUGUAAACUCCUUUCGAUCGGGACGAUGAUGACGGUA